rnacentral:rRNA from 1 species
GACGAACGCUGGCGGCGUGCUUAACACAUGCAAGUCGAACGGAAAGGCCCUGCUUUUGUGGGGUGCUCGAGUGGCGAACGGGUGAGUAACACGUGAGUAACCUGCCCUUGACUUUGGGAUAACAUCAGGAAACUGGGGCUAAUACCGGAUAGGAGCUCCUGCUGCAUGGUGGGGGUUGGAAAGUUUCGGCGGUUGGGGAUGGACUCGCGGCUUAUCAGCUUGUUGGUGGGGUAGUGGCUUACCAAGGCUUUGACGGGUAGCCGGCCUGAGAGGGUGACCGGCCACAUUGGGACUGAGAUACGGCCCAGACUCCUACGGGAGGCAGCAGUGGGGAAUAUUGCACAAUGGGCGGAAGCCUGAUGCAGCAACGCCGCGUGCGGGAUGACGGCCUUCGGGCUGUAAACCGCUUUCGCCUGUGACGAAGCGUGAGUGACGGUAAUGGGUAAAGAAGCACCGGCUAACUACGUG